GCCCUUGAGUUUGAUCCUGGCUCAGGAUGAACGCUGGCGGCGUGCCUAAUACAUGCAAGUCGAACGCGAGACGAGGGAGCUUGCUCCCUCCGAUCGAGUGGCGGACGGGUGAGUAACACGUAGGCAACCUGCCCAUCAGCCGGGGAUAACUGCGGGAAACCGUGGCUAAUACCGGAUAAACCUUUCCUCCGCAGGGAGGGGAGUUGAAAGACGGUUUCGGCUGCCGCUGAUGGAUGGGCUUGCGGCGCAUUAGCUGGUUGGUGGGGUAACGGCUCACCAAGGCGACGAUGCGUAGCCGACCUGAGAGGGUGAUCGGCCACACUGGGACUGAGACACGGCCCAGACUCCUACGGGAGGCAGCAGUAGGGAAUCUUCCGCAAUGGACGCAAGUCUGACGGAGCAACGCCGCGUGAGUGAAGAAGGGUUUCGGCUCGUAAAACUCUGUUGUUAAGGAAGAAUGUCAGUGAGAGUAACUGCUCAUUGAGUGACGGUACUUAACCAGAAAGCCACGGCUAACUACGUGCCAGCAGCCGCGGUAAUACGUAGGUGGCAAGCGUUAUCCGGAAUUAUUGGGCGUAAAGCGCGCGUAGGCGGUUUCCUAAGUCUGAUGUGAAAGCCCCCGGCUCAACCGGGGAGGGUCAUUGGAAACUGGGGGACUUGAGUGCAGAAGAGGAGAGUGGAAUUCCAUGUGUAGCGGGAAAUAAGGGC
rnacentral:rRNA from 1 species